rnacentral:rRNA from 1 species
AUUGAACGCUGGCGGCAGGCCUAACACAUGCAAGUCGAGCGGAUGAAGGGAGCUUGCUCCUGGAUUCAGCGGCGGACGGGUGAGUAAUGCCUAGGAAUCUGCCUGGUAGUGGGGGAUAACGUCCGGACACGGGCGCUAAUACCGCAUACGUCCUGAGGGAGAAAGUGGGGGAGCUUCGGACCUCACGCUAUCAGAUGAGCCUAGGUCGGAUUAGCUAGUUGGUGGGGUAAAGGCCUACCAAGGCGACGAUCCGUAACUGGUCUGAGAGGAUGAUCAGUCACACUGGAACUGAGACACGGUCCAGACUCCUACGGGAGGCAGCAGUGGGGAAUAUUGGACAAUGGGCGAAAGCCUGAUCCAGCCAUGCCGCGUGUGUGAAGAAGGUCUUCGGAUUGUAAAGCACUUUAAGUUGGGAGGAAGGGCAGUAAGUUAAUACCUUGCUGUUUUGACGUUACCAACAGAAUAAGCACCGGCUAACUUCGUG